rfam:Gossypium hirsutum cultivar TM-1 chromosome 14, whole genome shotgun sequence
UGUUAAAAAUUUUGUUAAUUUUUACUGUUAAAAAUUGACAUGGUUGAUAGAAUAACAUAUAGCUACACGUGACAUGCCACUUGUACCUCAUACUAAAUUACAUGGACCAGCUUUUAACAAUAAAAAUGGAUAAAAUUUUUAACA